CGGCGACCGGCGCACGGGUGAGUAACGCGUAUCCAACCUGCCCUUUACUAUGGGACAGCCCGUCGAAAGGCGGAUUAAUACCGUAUGUUGUCAUGUUGAUGCAUAUUUUCAUGACCAAAGGCUUCGGCCGGUAAAGGAUGGGGAUGCGUCUGAUUAGCUUGCCGGCGGGGUAACGGCCCACCGGGGCGACGAUCAGUAGGGGUUCUGAGAGGAAGGUCCCCCACAUUGGAACUGAGACACGGUCCAAACUCCUACGGAAGGCAGCAG
rnacentral:rRNA from 1 species